rnacentral:rRNA from 1 species
CCUACGGGGGGCUGCAGUGGGGAAUAUUGCACAAUGGGGGAAACCCUGAUGCAGCAACGCCGCGUGAGCGAUGAAGGCCUUCGGGUCGUAAAGCUCUGUCCUAAGGGAAGAAUACUGACGGUACCUUAGGAGGAAGCCCCGGCUAACUACGUGCCAGCAGCCGCGGUAACACGUAGGGGGCUAGCGGUAUCCGGAAUUACUGGGCGUAAGGGGUGCGUAGGCGGCCCUUCAAGGCAGAGGUGAAAGGCUACGUCUCAACCGUAGUAAGCCUUUGGAACUGUAGGGCUUGAGUGCAGGAGGGGAGAGUGGUAUUCUCAGUGUCGCGGUGAAAUGCGGAGAUAAUAGGAAGAACACCAGUGGCGAAAGCGGCUUUCUGGACUGUAACUGACGCUGAGGCACGAAAGCGUGGGGAGCGAACAGGAUUAGAUACCCGAGUAGUC